GCUAACACAUGCAGUCGAGCGGAACGAGUUAUCUAGAACCUUCGGGGGGACGAUAACGGCGUCGAGCGGCGGACGGGUGAGUAAUGCCUAGGAAAUUGCCCUGAUGUGGGGGAUAACCAUUGGAAACGAUGGCUAAUACCGCAUGAUGCCUACGGGCCAAAGAGGGGGACCUUCGGGCCUCUCGCGUCAGGAUAUGCCUAGGUGGGAUUAGCUAGUUGGUGAGGUAAGGGCUCACCAAGGCGACGAUCCCUAGCUGGUCUGAGAGGAUGAUCAGCCACACUGGAACUGAGACACGGUCCAGACUCCUACGGGAGGCAGCAGUGGGGAAUAUUGCACAAUGGGCGCAAGCCUGAUGCAGCCAUGCCGCGUGUGUGAAGAAGGCCUUCGGGUUGUAAAGCACUUUCAGUCGUGAGGAAGGUAGUGUAGUUAAUAGCUGCAUUAUUUGACGUUAGCGACAGAAGAAGCACCGGCUAACUCCGUGCCAGCAGCCGCGGUAAUACGGAGGGUGCGAGCGUUAAUCGGAAUUACUGGGCGUAAAGCGCAUGCAGGUGGUUUGUUAAGUCAGAUGUGAAAGCCCGGGGCUCAACCUCGGAAUAGCAUUUGAAACUGGCAGACUAGAGUACUGUAGAGGGGGGUAGAAUUUCAGGUGUAGCGGUGAAAUGCGUAGAGAUCUGAAGGAAUACCGGUGGCGAAGGCGGCCCCCUGGACAGAUACUGACACUCAGAUGCGAAAGCGUGGGGAGCAAACAGGAUUAGAUACCCUGGUAGUCCACGCCGUAAACGAUGUCUACUUGGAGGUUGUGGCCUUGAGCCGUGGCUUUCGGAGCUAACGCGUUAAGUAGACCGCCUGGGGAGUACGGUCGCAAGAUUAAAACUCAAAUGAAUUGACGGGGGCCCGCACAAGCGGUGGAGCAUGUGGUUUAAUUCGAUGCAACGCGAAGAACCUUACCUACUCUUGACAUCCAGAGAACUUUCCAGAGAUGGAUUGGUGCCUUCGGGAACUCUGAAACAGGUGCUGCAUGGCUGUCGUCACCUCCUGUUGUGAAAUGUUGGGUUAAGUCCCCCACCAACGCAACCCUUAUCCUUGUUUGCCAGCGAGUAAUGUCGGGAACUCCAGGAGACUGCCGGUGAUAAACCG
rnacentral:rRNA from 1 species